UUUUAUCAAGGAGAAAAAGAAAUAAUUACAGGGGCAGUGUACCGAACAAAUAAGAUUUUCUAUAUAAGUCUUUGUCUUUCAGAGCUCUUGCCAUCGGUAUUUGAUCUUUCUUUCGGGGUUUCCGUGUUUCUCGCAGCCGAGUUGAGCCUGGUUCCUAGGCUGAGAUAACGAAGAAGAAAAUGGGAGGAGGCAACGGCCAGAAGUCAAAGACGGCUCGUGAACGGAACAUGGAGAAGCAAAAGGCCGCCGCUAAAGGAAGUCAGCUUGAGUCGAAUAAGAAAGCCAUGACAAUCCAGUGCAAAGUGUGCAUGCAGACGUUCAUUUGCACCACAUCGGAGGUGAAAUGCAAGGAACAUGCUGAAGCCAAACACCCAAAAUCUGAUUUGUUCACAUGUUUCCCUCAUCUUAAGAAAUGAAACAAAAGAAACUAUAAACAAACCAAGCACAUCCCCACCUCUAUUAUCUUAAUCCUGGUUAGGUGUCAUCCUUGUAGACUGGUUACCUUUGUCAGCAUGCUAAAUUAAUCAAGGUCUAUGGACUCUGUUUAUAUAUAAUCGUUAAUUAAUCAAGGUCUAUGGACUCUGUUUAUAUAUAAUCGUUCCCUUGCACUGGUUACCUUUGUCAGCAGGCUAAAUUAAUUCGAUUGUGUGAUUUUUUGUUGGCAUUUA